rnacentral:rRNA from 1 species
GAUGAAAACUUAUUCAUCGCUUAGCUGCUGAUCUUCGAGGGGUAGCAUGACCUUCUUUUGGAUGGUUAGAUGGCGACCGGCGUACGAAUGCAUAACGCGUUUGCAACUUGCCUUACCCAUGGGGAGUAUCCCCUUUAUCUACAGACUACUAUGUAAUAUGCUUAUUCCCCUGCAUGACCGGGGAAUGAAAUAUUUAUAUCUGCCACAUAUUCCUGCGACCCAUUACCUAGUUGGUGAGGUAACUGCUCACCAUAGCAACCAUGGGUAGGGGAACUGAGAUGUUUAUCCCCCACACUGUUACUGAAACAUCUACCAAACUCCUAUGACAAGCACCAUUGACGAAUAUUGAUCCAUGGGCGAGAGACUGAACCACAUCAUCUCACGUGUUCCGAUACUGUCCUAACGAUUGUAAACUUCUUUUAUACGGAAAUAACUGGUCGAUACGUGUAUUGCUAUGAAUGUACCGCACGAAUAAUCAUCUGAUAUUUCCGUGUGCAGCAGCCACUCUAAUACGGAGGAUGCGAGCGUUAUCCUGAUUUAUUGAGUUUAAAGGAAUGGUACGUUGUUCUGUACUCAGCGGUGAAAACUGAGCGCUCAACUUUCAGCGUGCCGUUGAAACUGCCGGGCUCGAGUUCAGUGGCGGCAGGCGGAAUUCGUGGUGUAGCGGUGAAAUGCAUAGAUAUCACGAGGAACUCCGAUUGCGAAGGCAGCUUGCCAUACUGCGACUGACACUGAAGCACGAAGGCGUGGGUAUCAAACAGGAUUAGAUACCCUGGUAGUCCACGCAGUAAACGAUGAUUACUAGGAGUUUGCGAUAUACCGUCAAGCUUCCACAGCGAAAGCGUUAAGUAAUCCACCUGGGGAGUACGCCGGCAACGGUGAAACUCAAAGGAAUUGACGGGGGCCCGCACAAGCGGAGGAACAUGUGGUUUAAUUCGAUGAUACGCGAGGGACCUUACCCGGGAUUGAAAUGUAGACGACGGAUGGUGAAAGCCGUCUUCCCUUCGGGGCGUCUAUGUAGGUGCUGCAUGGUUGUCGUCAGCUCGUGCCGUGAGGGGUCGGCUUAAGUGCCAUAACGAGCGCAACCCACAUCGGUAGUUGCUAACAGGUUUAGCUGAGGACUCUACCGAGACCGCCGUCGUAAGGAGAGAGGAAGGUGUGGAUGACGUCAAAUCAGCACGGCCCUUACAUCCGCGGGCGGCACACGUGUUAUCAUAUGGGAGGGACAAAGGGCAGCUACCGGGCGACUGGAUGGCAAUCUCCCAACCCUUCCCCAGUUCGGAAUCGAAUCCUGCAACUCGACUCCCGGAAGCUGGAUUCCCUAGUAAUCCCGCAUCAGCCAUGGGGGGGGGAAUAAGUUUCCGGGCCU